UCUGGGACAAGCCCUGGAAACGGGGUCUAAUACCGGAUGAUACUGCGGACCGCAUGGUCUGUGGUUGAAAGCUCCGGCGGUGCAGGAUGGGCCCGCGGCCUAUCAGCUUGUUGGUGAGGUAAUGGCUCACCAAGGCGACGACGGGUAGCCGGCCUGAGAGGGCGACCGGCCACACUGGGACUGAGACACGGCCCAGACUCCUACGGGAGGCAGCAGUGGGGAAUAUUGCACAAUGGGCGCAAGCCUGAUGCAGCGACGCCGCGUGAGGGAUGACGGCCUUCGGGUUGUAAACCUCUUUCAGCAGGGAAGAAGCGAAAGUGACGGUACCUGCAGAAGAAGCGCCGGCUAACUACGUGCCAGCAGCCGCGGUAAUACGUAGGGCGCAAGCGUUGUCCGGAAUUAUUGGGCGUAAAGAGCUCGUAGGCGGCUUGUCGCGUCGGUUGUGAAAGCCCGGGGCUUAACCCCGGGUCUGCAGUCGAUACGGGCAGGCUAGAGUUCGGUAGGGGAGAUCGGAAUUCCUGGUGUAGCGGUGAAAUGCGCAGAUAUCAGGAGGAACACCGGUGGCGAAGGCGGAUCUCUGGGCCGAUACUGACGCUGAGGAGCGAAAGCGUGGGGAGCGAACAGGAUUAGAUACCCUGGUAGUCCACGCCGUAAACGGUGGGAACUAGGUGUUGGCGACAUUCCACGUCGUCGGUGCCGCAGCUAACGCAUUAAGUUCCCCGCCUGG
rnacentral:rRNA from 1 species